GAAUGCCGCUUGGAUAGGCAUGCAAGUCGAAUGCGAACGUAGCAAUACUAGUAGCAUGGCGAAAGGGAUAGUAAUGCAUGGGCGAUCUACCCUCGACUCUGGGAUAUGCGGCGGAAACGCCGAGUAAUACUAGACACCGUUUUCGAAGGACAUCCUUUGACAACGAAAGGUCCGCCGGUCGAGGAGGAGCUCAUGUCCUAUCAGCUAGUUGGUGAGGUAACGGCUCACCAAGGCGAGGACGGGUAGCGGGUGUGAGAGCACGACCCGCAUCACUGGCACUGAGACACUGGCCAGACUCCUACGGGAGGCUGCAGUCGAGAAUCUUCGUCAAUGGGGGAAACCCUGAACGAGCGACGCCGCGUGGAGGAUGAAGGCCUUCGGGUUGUAAACUCCUGUUGGGAGGGAGCAAAUUUUGAGCGACCUCCUGAGGAAGCACGGGCUAAGUUCGUGCCAGCAGCCGCGGUAAGACGAACCGUGCGAACGUUAUUCGGAAUCAUUGGGCUUAAAGGGCGCGUAGGCGGCGGUGUAAGUUGGAAGUGAAAUCCCAUCGGCUCAACCGUGGAAUUGCUCCCAGUACUGCAUCGCUCGAGGGGGAUAGGGGUCUGCGGAACUACCGGUGGAGCGGUGAAAUGUGUUGAUAUCGGUGGGAACGCCAGUGGCGAAAGCGGCAGACUUGACCCUUCCUGACGCUGAGGCGCGAAAGCUAGGGGAGCAAACGGGAUUAGAUACCCCGGUAGUCCUAGCCCUUAAACGUUGGGUACUGA
rnacentral:rRNA from 1 species